UCCAGACUCCUACGGGAGGCAGCAGUGGGGAAUAUUGCACAAUGGGGGAAGCCCUGAUGCAGCAACGCCGCGUGAGUGAAGAAGUAUUUCGGUAUGUAAAGCUCUAUCAGCAGGGAAGAGAAUGACGGUACCUGACUAAGAAGCCCCGGCUAACUACGUGCCAGCAGCCGCGGUAAUACGUAGGGGGCGAGCGUUAUCCGGAUUUACUGGGUGUAAAGGGAGCGUAGACGGUUCUGCAAGUCUGAAGUGAAAGCCCGUGGCUUAACCGCGGAACGGCUUUGGAAACUGUGGAACUGGAGUGCUGGAGAGGCAAGCGGAAUUCCUAGUGUAGCGGUGAAAUGCGUAGAUAUUAGGAGGAACACCAGUGGCGAAGGCGGCCUGCUGGACAGUAACUGACGUUGAGGCUCGAAAGCGUGGGGAGCAAACAGGAUUAGAUACCCCAGUAA
rnacentral:rRNA from 1 species